GGCCCUUGCAGGGUCGAGUAUGUAAUUAGCAGAGGGUGCUUUGGCGUCGGCCGUGGUCUAAGUUCCUUGGAACAGGACGUCACAGAGGGUGAGAAUCCCGUACGUGGCCGCCGGCCUUCGCCGUGUAAAGCCCCUUCGACGAGUCGAGUUGUUUGGGAAUGCAGCUCUAAAUGGGAGAUAAAUUUCUUCUAAAGCUAAAUACUGGCCAGAGACCGAUAGCGCACAAGUAGAGUGAUCGAAAGAUGAAAAGCACUUUGGAAAGAGAGUCAAAAAGCACGUGAAAUUGUUGAAAGGGAAGCGCUUGCAGCCAGACGUGCCCGCAGUUGCUCACCCGGGCUCUCGCCCGGGGCACUCUUCUGCGGGCAGGCCAGCAUCAGUUCGGGCGGUUGGAUAAAGGUCGCUUUCACGUAUUGCCCCUCGGGGUAACCUUAUAGAGGCGACGCAACACGGCCAGCCCGGACUGAGGACCGCGCAUCAGCUAGGAUGCUGGCGUAAUGGCUGUAAGCGGCCCGUCUUGAAACACGGACCAAGGAGUCUAACAUCUAUGCGAGUGUUUGGGUGUCAAGCCCGGGCGCGCAAUGAAAGUGAACGGAGGUGGGAACCCCUCGGGGCGCACCAUCGACCGAUCCUGAAGUCUUCGGAUGGAUUUGAGUAAGAGCAUAGCUGUUGGGACCCGAAAGAUGGUGAACUAUGCCUGAAUAGGGUGAAGCCAGGGGAAACCCUGGUGGAGGCUCGCAGCGGUUCUGACGUGCAAAUCGAUCGUCAAA
rnacentral:rRNA from 1 species